AUGCAAGUGUGCUUGAUAUGUGCUCAUGUGUUCAAGUUAUAUAUCUUCAAAAUGCCUGAAUUGAUGGACUUUGUCAAAACAUUGGAUACAUACUUCUUCAAAUCAAGUGACUAUGCAUUCAUCUGUGUCACAUAGCUAACAAGUUCUUUUAAGGCUGUGGCUACAUAGAAUGAAAUGUCCUCUGUGCUUCAAGGCAGAAAAGCAGAGAGAUGCUCUGGGGCACAUGCCGAACACAACGUACUGUAAAUAUUGCCAAAGCAUUCAGAUUUCCAGUGGGCUAUGGGCACUGAUGUGAUGCAACUCAAGCAGCCACAACAAGGUGAGACUUAAAGUAGGGAUGUCAUUGUAAAACUCAUUAUCUUGGUGAUAUUUGAACAAAGACAUGAAAGGUGAGUUGAGCAGUGAUCUGAAUAUCUAAGAGAAAGGCAGAGGCAGUUUAGAAACUUCAAUGGGAGAAGAUAUCAAA
rnacentral:lncRNA from 1 species